rnacentral:rRNA from 1 species
UACGAAGGUCCCGAGCGUUAUCCGGAUUUAUUGGGUUUAAAGGGUGCGUAGGCGGAUUAUUAAGUCAGCGGUGAAAGCCUUCAGCUUAACUGAAGAAUUGCCAUUGAUACUGAUGAUCUUGAGUAUGAUUGAGGUGGGCGGAAUGUGUCAUGUAGCGGUGAAAUGCUUAGAUAUGACACAGAACACCGAUUGCGAAAGGCAGCUCACUAAGCCAUAACUGACGCUGAUGCACGAAAGCGUGGGGAGCAAACAGG